CUUCACUCACUGGUGUUGGCUGCACAUCCUUACUUAGGCUGACCUGCUUCUUUUUGCUCAGUUGUGAAACUGACAGGAAUAAACCUGUGAAAUGAUUUGAGAAGCAUUGAAUUAACAUGGAGGAAACGUCAGAAUCCCUAAGAAGAGAAAUGGAAUGAAACUCAAAUCUCUUCUAUGCUUACAGCUUCAGCUGCAAACACUGUAAGAGAGGAAUUAGAGGGGUGACUUGAGCCUUGUGGAAGCGAAGCGGUGAGCUGCUUUUCUCCACCCACCCAUGUGACUGUAAGACAUAAGCUGGAGUAUGCACUGGCUGACAGGUCAAACUUUGCUCUACUGUUGCCCACUUGAACUUUCUUGCCCAGUUGUGAUUCUCAGCUAUUACACUGUUGCUCUCCUGAACUCUCUGGAACACUUCACCUCUUGGAUAGGAGACAAUUCCCACCUCAAGGGGGGUCCUGGACUCACUAAGAUAUAUGAAGGAAAUCCUGAUCCACUAAGAGAUCAAAUCUGAUGACACACUUCCAACAGUUUGCUUCUUUUUUGUCCUACACAAGAGAAUUCUGAGUGCCUGCAGGGACUGAACUUCUCUUCAGAAGCUUUUGGAGUAUAAUUUAGAGAGGGAAUGGUGUAAACUUGGACUUGGUACAAAUAAGUGUGAGGAUGACACACCAAUGUUUGAAGGAUUGUGUGCUACUGAAGUCUUGUGGUCUGCUGUUUCAGUGGGUAAGAAUCAGGGGAAGAUCAACAAGGCAGAUAUGGUGGGAGUGUCUUAGCAAUGGCCCAGCCAGGAUAUAGACACAUAAAAGUAUUCUGUAGGCAUCCACAAGAAGUCUUGUGAUCCCUUACCAUUAUUCUGGGGGACUAUUUCAAUGACCUUGACGUCUGCUGGACCUUCCACUUGUGAAUAGAGAAUGACUUGUGAGGUGAUGGUUGGAGGAGGAAAUUGAAGGAGAGAAGGUAUUGAAAAAUGCAACCUAGAAGAAUGUAUCAUGAGAAUGCAAGGCUGAACCUGUGCCAGUUUAUGAAAGCUAAUGAAAAUUUGUCAAUAGAAAACUUGACUUGUUUGCAAGAAGAUAUUGAAAUAAUUUAAUUGUUAUAUUAUAUAAACAUGUGCUCAUUA